AUGUUCCAUGAUAAUGGGUUAGGUAAAUGUUUCAUGAUAAUGGGUUAGGUAAAUGUUUCAUGAUAAGAAUUUCAUGUCUUUUGUAUUAAAGAAUUAAAUGGAUGAAAUAUGAAGUUUUAUUAAAAGAAAAAGGGGUGAAAAGAACAAAGUUUUGUCCAUCUUUGUUCAUCAUAGCUGAAAGUUAGAGAAGAGAAAGGAGAGGAGAAAGCUCUUGAGUAUUCGGUCAUUAGGAGGAGGAAAAUUGAAGGAAAUCCCCAACCAUAGUAGGCUUGGAGCUGUGAGGGAAUUCGGAGUGGCCACCCAUUCUGAAAGUUUGAUUUUCUUCUGGUGAACUGGACAUCCUUUUAAUUACGUUUGAGGUUUUGGGCUUUUAAAUGUAAUAAGGCCGCUUAUUUAUUUUUGAUGGUUUUUAAUAUGUAUUACUAAGAUAGGUAAUACUUAUUUUAAUUGUUGAAAUUGGAUAGCUUUAGGGCGCAUUUUCAAAAACAA